rnacentral:lncRNA from 1 species
GUGCCAAGUCAAGUGUGGACAAGUACAUCAGUGUAUCAUGCACCAGUUGUGGUGCCUGUGAAAACUGCUGAUCUCGAUGAAGGUAAAGAUGACAGCAGCCCGCCCAUCGCUGACCGCAGAAUUUGGAGGUAGUACGACAGCAAUGCGUUCUACUGCGAUCAAGUGCAAGAGAAUGUGAAACUUUCGGUUGGCACACUUAUAGAGAAAGCCCUUA